GGGGGAAUAUUGCACAAUGGGGGAAACCCUGAUGCAGCCAUGCCGCGUGUGUGAAGAAGGCCUUCGGGUUGUAAAGCACUUUCAGCGAGGAGGAAAGGGUGCUGGCUAAUAUCCAGCAUCUGUGACGUUACUCGCAGAAGAAGCACCGGCUAACUCCGUGCCAGCAGCCGCGGUAAUACGGAGGGUGCAAGCGUUAAUCGGAAUUACUGGGCGUAAAGCGCACGCAGGCGGUUGGACAAGUUAGAUGUGA
rnacentral:rRNA from 1 species